AUCUAUGGCCAUGCCACCCUGAACGUGCCUGCUCUCGUCUGAUCUUGGAAGCUAAGCAGGGUCGGGCCUGGUUAGUACUUGGAUGGGACACCACCUAGGAAGACCAGGUGCGAUAGACA
rnacentral:rRNA from 1 species